rnacentral:rRNA from 1 species
AGAAUCAACGCUGGCGGCGUGCCUAACACAUGCAAGUCGAACGAGAAAGUGGAGCAAUCCAUGAGUAAAGUGGCGCACGGGUGAGUAACACGUGACUAACCUACCCUUGAGUGGGGAAUAACUUCGGGAAACCGAGGCUAAUACCGCAUAACACCUACGGGUCAAAGGAGCAAUUCGCUUAAGGAGGGGGUCGCGGCAGAUUAGUUAGUUGGCGGGGUAAUGGCCCACCAAGACGGUGAUCUGUAUCCGGCCUGAGAGGGCGCACGGACACACUGGAACUGAAACACGGUCCAGACUCCUACGGGAGGCAGCAGUGGGGAAUUUGCGCAAUGGGGGAAACCCUGACGCAGCAACGCCGCGUGGAGGAUGAAGUCCCUUGGGACGUAAACUCCUUUCGAUCGGGACGAUUAUGACGGUACCGGAAGAAGAAGCCCGGCUAACUUCGUGCCAGCCACCGC